GAUGAACGCUGGCGGCGUGCCUAAUACAUGCAAGUCGAGCGAACAGACGAGGAGCUUGCUCCUCUGACGUUAGCGGCGGACGGGUGAGAAACACGUGGAUAACCUACCUAUAAGACUGGGAUAACUUCGGGAAACCGGAGCUAAUACCGGAUAAUAUAUUGAACCGCAUGGUUCAAUAGUGAAAGACGGUUUUGCUGUCACUUAUAGAUGGAUCCGCGCCGCAUUAGCUAGUUGGUAAGGUAACGGCUUACCAAGGCAACGAUGCGUAGCCGACCUGAGAGGGUGAUCGGCCACACUGGAACUGAGACACGGUCCAGACUCCUACGGGAGGCAGCAGUAGGGAAUCUUCCGCAAUGGGCGAAAGCUUGACGGAGCAACGCCGCGUGAGUGAUGAAGGUCUUCGGAUCGUAAAACUCUGUUAUUAGGGAAGAACAAAUGUGUAAGUAACUAUGCACGUCUUGACGGUACCUAAUCAGAAAGCCACGGCUAACUACGUG
rnacentral:rRNA from 1 species